AUUGAACGCUGGCGGCAGGCUUAACACAUGCAAGUCGAGCGAGCGGCGGACGGGUGAGUAAUGUCUGGGAAACUGCCUGAUGGAGGGGGAUAACUACUGGAAACGGUAGCUAAUACCGCAUACAAUAAGAUGUGCCCAGAUGGGAUUAGCUAGUAGUUGGGGCAAUGGAUCACCAAGGCGACGAACCCUAGCUGGUCUGAGAGGAUGACCAGCCACAUUGGAACUGAGACACGGUCCAGACUCAUACGUGAGGCAGCAGUGGGGAAUAUUGCACAAUGGGCGCAAGCCUGAUGCAGCCAUGCCGCGGGUGUGAAGAAGGCCUUCGGGUUGUAAAGCACUUUCAGCGAGGAGGCGUUACUCGCAGAAGAAGCACCGGCUAACUCCGUGCCAGCAGCCGCGGUAAUAC
rnacentral:rRNA from 1 species